AGCAGUCGCCGCUGGAAUACGUAGGGUGCAAGCGUUAAUCGGAAUUACUGGGCGUAAAGCGUGCGCAGGCGGUUAUAUAAGACAGAUGUGAAAUCCCCGGGCUCAACCUGGGAACUGCAUUUGUGACUGUAUAGCUAGAGUACGGCAGAGGGGGAUGGAAUUCCGCGUGUAGCAGUGAAAUGCGUAGAUAUGCGGAGGAACACCGAUGGCGAAGGCAAUCCCCUGGGCCUGUACUGACGCUCAUGCACGAAAGCGUGGGGAGCAAACAGGAUUAGAUACCCCCGUAGUCCCUGUCUCUUAUAC
rnacentral:rRNA from 1 species